rnacentral:lncRNA from 1 species
GUGUGAUUCUGCUGCAUUCUGAUUCAGACACGCUCAAAGGGCUUAGUGUGAAGCAGGUGCAUCACCUGGUUGGGGACUGGGGUCUGAGGACAGUGUCUCAGCUGAGCCCCAGUGGUGCACCUGGGCUGGCUCAAAAGCCUCCCUUGCUGGGGCCUCCAGCCCCUGGUGCAAUGGCAGAAGGAGCCAUCUGCUCAGGAAAGCAACUGAGCAUUGGGGGGCUCCUGAUGCAGAUGUGUUUGUGGAUGUUUUGUCCUGAGGUGGCCCUCAAGCUGUUUCCUGUGGUUUGGUUUGGAUAUGCACCAAGUUGGAGCAGUCAGAGUAUAAUCUGUGCCAACUAAGUAAAUCUAUGAUGGCCUCACUAAGGGAGAAGCUCAUGUUCAACAGGUGGUAGGCUUAUGAGUAUUUCUAAGUCACAACCUGGAGGGAAGGAGUGGGGGUCCUGAGCACCCAGUGGACCGUCUCUGCUUGCUUUCCAUCCAUAGCGUAGACCCCUGCCCACGAAAAUGUAGAAUAAAGGCACUGUGUCCACUUAAAUAAAAAAAAUAAAUAUUAAAAAAACGGGGUACCCCCCCAUUCUUUUUGUUUUGCCACUGACCACACCGUUCACAGUCAGGGCCAGUCAGGGUCUCUCGGCUGGGAUCAGUGAGUCCUGACCCACACAAUGUGGAAUGGUGCACAUGGGCAUCCUUUUUUUUUUAGUAUGGAUAGAUAUUUUGCUCAGCCGUGUCAGUUGAUGGGCCCUUGGUGGUUUUGGGGUCUGGCUGCUGGGAGAUUUGAGCAAGCCACAU